rnacentral:lncRNA from 1 species
GCUCCCCCUGUAGCGGCCAGUGCGGCCUCAAGUUGGACCUUGCACUCUUGGAGCUCCUGGGACAGAUGGGUAUUCUUCACCGUAAGACCUGCAUAGAAAUUGAUCCUUAAAUCAGUUAUUUUAACUAUUUUAAGUCUCGGGAGCUACUGGCAUAUAUAACUAUUAAAAUUACUUACACGUAUGUCUUUCACAUACUGCUCCGUGGCUCUGGUUAACCCAUCUUGAGCGGCACGGAGGUGCGCGUUUCCCGCAUCAAAGGCGUUUAACGCCUCCGGGGGAAAACACGCGUCACAAAGAACUGUCCGGCGACGCCUGUGAUUCAUGGCGCUCUCCACCUCAGACCGGGUGGCGGACAGCCUGUCGGCAUCCUCCGUCAGAGGAGCAUCCGGCUCGUGCCUUGUAUUCGCCUCCCCUCGCGGGCCAUGCGUUGGAGCAUGGCUGGCGGAGGCUUGAUUGGCAACCUCUUCGGACACUGUCCGGCGAGCGCUCUUUCUGGAAAAGUUAUGAGCAUUAAUAUACCUCCUGGGAAUCCUUCCCUUAAAAAUAGCGGUGCUCCGUACCGUUGCGGCGACGUUUCAGUUCGCGUCGCACUCCUCUUCCGCCUGCCGGGCCAAACUGACCCUUGUUGGUCGGCCACCGCGGGUUCGACUUCCCGCCUUAAAGGCACCUCCUGCGAUGCACCAUCAGUAUGGGAUGGUCAGAAUUGAGCACGGAUCAAAUGAUGGUGUCAAGACCUCGGUCGUAGUCACCUUGGAGGCCGGAAAUAAACCGGGGUAGUCAGCCGUAAUGGCGACUAAAGCAUUGUCUAUGCUGAGCUGGUGGAACACCCCGUCGAUCAGUUCCACCGCUAAGUCCGGAUCCUCUUCGGAGGCCGGGUCAAGGGACCUUUCUGGAUCCUCGGGUUAUGGAGCUGGGCUUUUUAUGCCCUCCACAUCCUGACGCAGUUCCUGUGUCAAAAUCAUACAAUAAGACAAUUGCCUUUAAAGGCACGGAUCAGAUAUGCAUGUGACCGCUUACCUAGCUCCGAGGGUUGUUCAUGGAAAACCCGUUCAGGGGAUUCGUACGGAGGAAGCCCUCCUUCUCCCCCUUGUACAAGCCGGACAGGAUCUUCACCAGGUCGUCGGCCGAGCCAGGUCCCUUGCGGCCGUGACGGGUGGCGUCAUCUUCUCCGUUGAAGUCCCACAUGGGGUAGCCCCUAUAUUGGAGCGGUUGCACUCCGCGCAUAAUGCAUGUGGCCAUGACUCCGAUCAUGGUUAAUCCGGAAUGGGCUAGGAGCCGUAUCCGGCCCAUCAAGUAAUGGACGCUCCUAUCAUCUUCUCGUUGAGGGCUCCGUGGGCGCCAACUCAGGCGUUUCUUCAGUGGAGCGUUGUUGAACUCCGGAAGGCCGAUCCGGACUGGAUCCAGCAGUGGAGCGUCCUCCAUAUAAAACCACUCCGAAGGCCAGUCUUCGGACGCCUUCUUCGGGGUCCCGGGCAGGUAUCCGGUCCCGGCGAUGCGCCAUAUUUCGGCUCCGCCCACUUGACAUAUCGACCCCUCGUGAGAGCGGGGUACGAGGCAAAACAGCCUCUUCCACAGCGCAAAAUGGGGCUCAAUGCCCAAGAACAGCUCACACAGAGCUACAAAGCCCGCGAUGUGCAAACUUAUUUGCGCAGCUAGGGGGUAAAACAUAAAAAUACCCUGGCUUUUCGCAUUCGUACGACGCGUGGAAGAAGGCCAUUAUUGGACGCGGAAGCCAAGGAGCGUAGCAUUUAUGAAGCAACCGGACACUAUCCGGCAAACACAUGGAGCAUGGAGAAGAACCCGCCUUGCAAACGCCGAAGACAACAUACGCGCCAGAUUCGUCGUUAUUGAAGCCUGGUUCGGGGGCUACUGAGGGAGUCCCGGACUAGGGGGUGUCCGGAUAGCCGAACUAUCAUCAUCGGCCGGACUCCAAGACUAUGAAGCUACAAGAUUGAAGACUUCGUCCCGUGUCCGGAUGGAACUUUCCUUGGCGUGGAAGGCAAGCUUGGCGAUACGGAUAUGUAGAUCUCCUACCUUUGUAACCGACUCUGUGUAACCCUAGCCCUCUCCAGUGUCUAUAUAAAUCGGAUGGCCUUAGUCCAUAGGGAGAACAACAAUCAUACCAUAGACUAGCUUCUAGGGUUUAGCCUCCUUGAUCUCGUGGUAGAUCCACUCUUGUAACACACAUCAUCAAUAUUAAUCAAGCAGGACGUAGGGUUUUACCUCCAGCGAGAGGGCCCGAACCUGGGUAAAACAUCGUGUCCCCCGUCUCCUGUUACCAUCCGCCUGGACGCACAGUUCGGGACCCCCUACCCGAGAUCCGCCGGUUUUGACACCGACAGAGGCCAUGACAAGAAGUGUGCGAAUAAUGGUCAUAUGGGCCACAUGAGAAAAACUCUCAUUGUAAUUAUGACCAUGCUCCUGCUGAAAGCCACGAGCCACAAGACAAUCUUUGUAGCACUCAAGAAAACCAUCGGAGUGAGUCUUAACAUUGUAAACCCACUUACAAAUGAUUGGGCGAACACCAAGAGGAAGAGCAACAUGGUCCCACACACCAGUGCACUCAAGAGCUGCAAAGCUCCUCUACCAUUCAGGAUGAAUAACAUCUUGACGAUAAGAAGUCGUCUCAAGGAGCACCAGCGCUUGGAACACCAAGGCGAUCAAUAGGCAGAAGUAGACAAGGACGCAAGCCAUAAGUAGGCUGAGAGGAGGAAGAUGGCACAUCAGUAGAUGCGGCCACAACACGUGAACGACGAGUAGGAUGAGACGAGGAGGACAACACAUUAGUAGACGCAUCCACAUUUUGCGGACGAUGAGUAUAAUACUACUGAAAAGAUGAAAGAAUACAAGGAGGAAUUGCCAAGGUAGACUCGGGUGAUGAAGACAAAAGAAGUCACUGGGGAUGAAGGUGCAGAAUCCCGUGAUAAACGAGAUGAGGACAAUAGGAGAUGGUGGCAUCGGAUCUGCAAUAGUGGGAGAAGCAGGGGCAAUGGGACGGAUGGACAAGGGCUCACCCAGAGUGAUAGGUGUGUCAGGAAAAGUGAGGAAAGAGAUAUCCUCUGCUGAAAAGGUCGGGGAAGAUGAACGCAGGUAGAAGGGACGAGACUCGUUAAAAGUCACAUCCCGAGAAAUACGCAUCCGACGACAAACAAGAUCCCAAGAACGAUAUCCCUUAUGCUCAUCACUAUAGCCUAAGAAGACACACUCAACAGACUGAGCGGACAGUUGGGGCUAGAAGAACAUAGCAAACAUAACCAAACAAACAAAGCACUGGGUAAUCAGGAGAACAAUCAAAGAGAUGCUCGAAAGGAACACCACCUUGCAGAGCAGUGGACGGCUGAAGGUUUGAUGAGAUAGGUGGAAGUGGAGACAACCUCGGCCCAAAAGUGAGGCGGAAGAGAGGCGACGAUCAUUAUUGCACGAGCCGUCUAAAUAAGUUGACGAUGCUUGCGCUCAGCCACGCCAUUAUGAGCAUGAGCAACAGGACAAGAAAACCGAGCAAGAGUACCCUGCUCGGCGAGAACCCCACGCAACAUCUUGGAUAUAUACUCUCCAGCAAAGUCAGCAUGGAACACACGAAUAGGCCUAGAGAACUGAGUGUGAACCAUGGCAGCAAAACACUUACGAAUAGAUAAGACCUCACUACGAGAAGAUAUAAAAUAUAUCCAGGUGUGGUGAGAGAAAUCAUCUAUAAAGAUAAUAUAGUAGCGAUAAACCCCUUUCAAGGCAAAGGGAGCUGGACCCUAGACAUCAGAGUGAACAAGGUCGAAAGGAUGCUGAUAUACAGUGUCACUAUGAGGCUAAGGUAACUUGACCUGUUUACCAAGCCGACAACCCUGGCAGUCUAAAGACACACCAUCGGACACGGAUCCAAGAAGAACAUGUCGAACUAAGGAUGAGAGAUGAGAGCCAACAAGUGACCAAGGUGAUGAUGCCACUACUGAAAAGAGCUGGUAGACAAGGCAACAAAGGAGGAGAGACUGGCGGCAGUGGCAGCGGAGGGCAGGUGAAGCCAAUCAAGCUCCCGGAGGCCCUUGGAGUCACAGUGUUGAGGGCCAGCACCAAGGAGAGCACUAGUAUGACGAUCUAGAAUAGAGCAAGAGUCGAAGUCAAGAAUCAACCGACAACCAGUGUCAACAAUCUGACCACCGGACAUGAGAUGCAUGGUAAGUCGAGGAACAUGAGCAACAUCUGGAACAUGAAAGCACAAAGUGCUAAGAAUGCCUCGGCCAUUAAUCGAGAGGGAGGUACCAUCAGCACUAAGAACAUGAACACGAGAAUCAAGAGGACGAAUAGAAGACAAAGUGGAUGAAUCAUGGGUCAUAUGAAAAGGUGCUCCACUGUAAGACAUAUGGGUCUAUAUUGUUGUAUCCGCUUAGAGCAUAUACAGCCGGACCUCUCAUACCUGUCUCAAACGCCCGGGCAGGCUGUUCGGUCAUUGACCGAUAAAAAAAUGACCCAAACAGACCUCUCAAACUACAGACAAACGCUCGGCUGACUGGCACCCCUCAUAUCCAGCCUAAAUCUAGGGCGGAUAUGGGGCGGCCCGGGCACGGUCGGGCGCGCCUGCCUGACAGGCCCGACCCACCAUCGACCCCACAGCUAUCCCACAAAACACCCAAUCCGGGUGCCUCGCUCUGAACCCUAGCUCACUCUCUCUCUCGCUCCGUCCUCUCCUCUCCCACUCCGAUUUCGAUCCCAUCCACUCCGAUGUCCAGCUCCGACAGCGACUCCAGCUUCGACCUUGACUACGAGGAGGAGAUAACACUCUACAUUGCAUUGGAGCGGUCCAAGGUGGGUACCGACUACAACUCCAGAUCUGGAGCGUCGCCGCAGCUCCCGUUAUGGCGCAGCGCGGAUGCCGGAGCUAGACCUUGCUGGCCCGCGCUCAGCUCUGCCAGGACCGCGUAGUCUGCAUCGCCCUCACGCCGUCUCCUUCCCCUGCCGACCGCCCCUCCACGCGGGCAGCGAUGGGUGCUAGUGCCCGCACCGCCGGCCCGCACGCGCACUCUAGAUUCGGAGGAGCGUGCCGCGUGUCAUGAUAGGUAGCAGGCACUAGAGAGGGACGUGGUGGAGCAGUCUGCAUGCCGCCGCCGUGGGAUGCAGGCGGAGCCCGAGGAGGACGAGCGGCUCCUCGCAUGGGUCUACUGCCAGUCCCUCAUGAUGUCGGAGACGGACGCUCGCCGCCUCCGACGGAAGAACGCCAAGGCGCUCCGGCUUGCUAUUGAGCAGUCGGAGCGCGAGGCGAAGGAGGCAGCGACGGAGGCGGCUCGGGUCGCCAAGUUGAAGCGGGAGUAGGACACGGCGGUCCGUCGGGUGAAGGGGCUCAUCGUCCUCUCCGACUCCGACUCCGACGACGGCGACAGCUGCACCUCCUCCUCGGACGACCAAGACCCUCCACCAGCCGUGAAUGCCUAUAGUUGUGCCGGUGACAGGGAGGGAAAAGGCCUGGGAAGGAAAUGGUGAUUCCGCCCCUCCUCAUAUGUUUAUAUCAUUUUUAGUUGUAGAGGUUUAAGAACUUGUCCUGUGAUGAACUAAGAUGAUCUUUUGGAUGUCGCAAAGUUUGUUAAUGUCGUUUGCAACCGAUCUUGUGUUUGUUUGUAGCCAAUUUUUGUUGUCCGUUGUUUGAUCACGUAGAGUAGCUCAAUGUUGCAUGUGGGGAUAUAAGGCGCCGGAUAUGAGAUACGCAGAUGCAGAGUAGCAAAUGUGAGGCGUGCCCGGCCAGUGCCCGUGGGCGCUUCCGCGGGCGUUUGCGGGGCCGGAUUUGCCCAGCGCGGCUGUAGACGCUGUUAGCCUCCUUAAUUUUUAGCAACAAAACGAUCUCGUCAAAGUUAAGUCUGGAUAGGUCAAGUCCGCCGGCAUGAAGACAUUUGAACAAUUUCAAUAAGUCAGUCUUGAUGACAUCCCAAAUUUUUUGAUAGAAUUCUACGGGGAAUCCAUCAGGGCCUGAAGCUUUACUAUGUUCCAUUUGAAACACGACAACUUUCACCUCCUCUUCAAAGAAAUGUGACAUGAAUAUAUCUUUGUCUUCUGUCGUGACUUGUGGGAUAUCAACUGUUCGAGUUUUGUCAAGGGUGAAAUACCUUUCAUCCGGCGGCCCGAACAAAGAUGUGUAGUAUUUGGUGAUAUAAUUUUUUAGCUCACAUUCGAUCUAGCCCUCAUCUUAUUGGAGGCUAAAUACACUUCUUCUUAUGCCAAUCAUUGACGACAGUUGAAAGUAUUGUGUAUUAUUGUCUCCCUUCAAGACGAAGUCGGCUUUGGAUCUUUGAUAACAUUUGAUUUUCUCUUCUCGCAAAAGAAGUGCAAUCUUUUUUGGAUCGAUUUUUCUUGAUUUAAUCUCUUGUUAUGACAAAAUGCGAGUCUCUGCAAUUUUGUCAUCGUCAAUAAUGGUGCAGAGGCGAAUCACUCCUAAGCUUGCCUCCUAUCAAACCACUUCGAGUUCAGUUUACAAGCCAAUCAUGGAACUUCUUGCACCUUGGCUUUCCUAAGAGCACGCAGGACAAGUGGAAUGCCCAAGUAGGUGUACAGGGAAACCCCACAGUAGGAAUACCCAGCGGCUGUAGGACUUGCACCAGAUCGCGCCCAUCACAGGGAAUAGGCAAGGCAGCACUUUUUGCAAGGCUAGUCACCAGCCCUGUCAACGAGCCAAACAGCGCGACGAGGAGCUUCAUCGUCUCUGCUUCCCGCCACGAAGACCACACAGUCAGCGUAAAACAAGCUUCUCACAGCAUCUCCAACAGCCGUCCAACCCACCGCGCGCUAAAAAUACGUUUGCAGCGCGUCGAUCGCCUGUUUUGGCGCGGCGGGGAGCACUGGCUCCGACGGCCGCGGUAAACUUUAACGCGUGCGCGUAGCUUCAGCAGGCGCGCUAAAAUAAAGCGCACGCGAGCAGUCGGCGUUUGCCAUAUGUUGUAUUUUGGACACGAAAUGAAUUUCAAACAUCAAAACUUAAGACAUGGCAUAAUUUAAAUCACACAAACAAGUUCAUGAUGACAUAAAAGUUCAUGCCCACAAGUUCAAAUUCAUGCCCACAACAUCAUCCAACCAAGUUCAAAAUCCGAACCAAGUUCAUGACACAAAAGUUCACACCAACAAAGGCACAUCAACAAUCAAGCCUCGUCCUCGUCUUCAUCGUCAUCUUCCUCCGAUUCAUCCGUGGCGGCAUGAAAAGGCCGCGCGCGAUGCCGGUGCUUGGAGGAGCUCUGGCGGAGGCGAAGCUUCCCGCGCUAGGGUUUGCGGCGGCGGAGGAGGAGGAGGGGUCGCGGGUGUAGGAAGGAGUGAGGAGAGUGCCGGCGCGGGCGUCCAUCAGGUCAAUUCGUCGGUGGCGGCGCAGGCGGGGCAAAGGUGGCGCGGUGGAGAGAGUGCGACGCGAGCGCUCGAGUGUGCGGCGCGCGGAAGCGGGCGCACCAAAUACACAGCGCGCGAUGGCGAUUCGGACCAGGCGCACGCUUGUUGCGCGUCCAUUGGAGUCCCUAUAUUGCUUGCGCGCGCGCUAAAAAAACAAAUUUGCGGCGCGGCGCUUAUUUAGCGCGAUUGUUGGAGAUGCUCUCACAACGGGAUGUCAUCCCAGCAAACGCGAAAGGACACCAGCUUCGGUUGCCAAGUUCAACAUGCGCUGCAGGUUCCAUGGGAAGAAUGAACAGAAUGAUAUCUUUGUUCUUUUUCUCGAAUGCACAAACAUGCGUACAUUAAAGAAGGAGCGGUAAAGAAGCCGGAUACAAGGCCUUUCGGUCAUUACAACGCUAAUCACAAGAAUUAGCCACCACAUCUAUCACACACACCUUGCCUACUAUGAUACAUGCAUCCCUAGUCUAACCUCAUUCCAAUGGCGAUGAGGCGAGCCUCAGAGCAAUCAAGCCGCGUCACAACCAACACUGAGACCUUUACAACAAAACCAAGACCCAAGACCAACCAAAACCAACUUACUGCCACCCAUUAUGCCAAGAGGAAGUCGGCAAGUGAACAACAGGGCCUGGGCAGACCUAGGGAAGGUGUCGUCGAGAUAGCACCGGCGAUGACAUACAUUGCGCCUAGGACGCCCACGCCCAGAGCAGCAGCUGACCAUGACUCAAGCCACACCGUUGAGACUCCUCGGGCAACAAGACGGCGCCUUCAAGAAGGGAAUGAUGCCAUGACGCCGCCGCCGCCGCCUGGUCCGGAGGCCAGACCGAGGGUAUCCCCCGAGCUCGAGGAAGGGAACCCAAUCUGGACAAAAACAACGCCUUCAUGAAGGGAACGACGCCCAUGGGCGUCGCCGUUGUUAGCCUCAAACGAUGUAGGGAUUUCUCCUGACACAGAUCGAAGAACCCAACGCCCGCCGGAGUUGCUCAAGCAUGCCAACCCCUCUACCGGAAGGGUUGCAAUCGCAUCACAGUAGGCACCACCACAAGCCGGCUAGAUCAGAGACCAUGGCACUCCCGCCGCGUCGCUGUUCUUCCCAGCACCAGCCACCCCCAUCCACCUUGACCAUGCCACCCCCAGCCCGCCUGUCACAGAGCACCACCACAAUAGCGGCGCCACUGCGCCGCCAUCCAAAGCUGCAGCUCGCCACCGCCACCACAGCUCCCCCUACUGAGGAAGGGGACCCCAGGCACGCCAGGGCGCCCCCACCGUUAGAUUUGGUCGUCGGGCGCCAGAUCGAUGACGCCGGCCUCAGCACUGCCCCACACGCCCCCAGCUGAUGUAGGGGAGGAGCAGCACCGUCGCCGAGCCUGGGGCCACCGCCCCAGCUUACUCACGUCGUUGAGGCGCAAUCGAUGCCUGAAGCGUUGCCUUGUCCGGGGCCGAAGCAGCGCGGCACGGCGAGGAGGCCCCGCCGCCGCCGUUCACCGCCACGGCAGCUAGGUUUCCCCUCGAGCGCCCCCCCCCCCCGGAGCGAGACGAGCGACACUGGUGGUCUAUUCUCGUUUGGGAAAGUUGUUGCUGCUUUUAGGAGUUUCAUGAUAUAUCUGUUCUAAUUUUCGCAAAUCCUACAUCAAGCGUAGACGAAGUACUUUUUGAUUUGGUACAUCACAACUAUCUAUGUUAUCAGAGCAACUCUAACGCGUUGACACAUUUCAUCCGCGCGUGUCCGUUUGGUCGUCGCGGACAGAAAAGUCGUCCCAACACGUCGAACCAAACGGACGCAUGUCUGCUCUACGUCCGCCUGACGACCCAUUCCUGACCCAAUUUCGGGCCUCAUUUGCAUCGGCGCGGACAUGAAGCGGACACACGCGACACACGCCUACUCCUUUCCCUGGCCCGCCAGUUGGUUGCACAUUGGCUAUUCUCUUCCACCCCUAUCGACAGCAAGCCCUCGCCCGCCCCACUCCACCUCGUCGCCGCCGCCAUCCAAUUCCGGUGUCCCUGCCAGCAGUCCAUGCCCACACACCUCCCGUGCACAUUGCCACCUCCCACGUCGCCGCCACCACCGCCUCGCCGCCAGGCCACCGCAACUUCCCACCCCACCCCCACCCCGAUGUCGCCGCGAGCACAAAGUCGCCCCCGCGGCCCCAGCCAGCUCCUUCGUCCGACAUCGCCGCGCUCGCCUGACGCUACCACACUCGUCGGACGCCACCAGGCUAGCUACCUGGUCCAGAGGAGCGCGCGUCUCUUCGCUGGCCAGCUUCUUCGAUGACGCUCGCAAGUUGUUCAACUGUUUGCCCCCAAGGUACAAAUGGACUCCGCCGAUGAGUUCUUUUUCCACAAUUUCCCCUGCGACUCUGACGAUUCCUCAUCUGAUGAUGAGGAUAAGGUGGUUGCUGUGUUGGUCCAUGACCACCUUAGUAGGCAGCGGCCGUUGUUUCGGUGCUUGAUCCUGGGGCACACUCCGGUGUUGAAUCGUAACCGAGAGAGCGGCCAUUUCCUUCUUUGGAAGGACUACUUUUAGACAGCCAACCCGUUGUUCAAACAUCACCAAUUCCGAUGGCGUUUCCGUAUGGCUAGGCACAUUUUGAAUCGUAUUCGACAGGGGAUGGUCGGAUACAAUAAGUAUUACGAGUGCAAGGAGGAUGCCCUUCGAAAGAUUGACUUCUCAUCUUAUCAGAAAUGCACUGCAGCUAUCCGGACGCUUGCAUACGGAGUGCCCGCUGAUCUCAUUGAUGAGUACGUCCAUAUGAGCGAGUCUAUUUGCCUAGAGUCCAUGUACAAGUUAUGCAAGGCUGCGAUUGCAGUGUUUAGCCCCAAGUACUUGAGAGAGCCGAGUGUUGAAGAUACAACCCGCUUGUUGACGAUUAAUGCCAGCAGGGCACCAGGGAUGCUUGGCAGCAUAUACUGCAUGCACUGGGAGUGGAAGAACUGUCCUUCUGCUUGGCAAGGGCAGCAUAAGGGCAUUGUCAGGGCUUGCACUGUCAUACUUGAGGCCGUGGUCUCACAAGAUCUUUGGAUCUAGCACUCUUUCUAUGGCGUGGCCGAAUCACACAAAGAUAUCAACGUGCUUCAAUGCUCACCGACGUUUGCAAGGCUUGCCGAAGGCAACAACCCGCCAAUGAAUGUUAACAUCAAUGGCCACAACUACAAUAAAUGAUACUACCUAGUUGACGGUAUCUAUCCUCAGUGGACCACUAUUGUGAAGACAAUCCCCAACCCUGUAGGAGAGAAGAGGAAAAGAUUUGCCCAAGAGCAAUAGGGUGCUAGUAAGGAUGUUGAGGGUAUAUUUGGUGUUCUGCAAUCUCGAUGGGGCAUCGUUCGAUAUCCUGCUAGAACUUGGAGCACCAAGGAAUUGUGGGAGAUGAUAACUGCUUGUGUGAUCAUGCACAAUAUGGUCAUAGAGGAUGAGCGUCCGGAACGUAUCUACGAUUGGGUUUCAGUUCCAGGGUGACAAUUGUGCCUGAGCAUGGAGGAGCGGCAAUGUUUGCAUAGUUCAUCCAAUUUCAUUAUCAAAUACGUGAAUGGGAAACUAACGUUUAUCUGCAAGAUAUUUGAUUGAGCAUAUGUGGGUUCAUGUUGACAACCAAUAGAUAUAUCUUUCCUUAAAUGUAUUUGAGACAAUUUAAUUUUUAUUUGGCUUAUAAACUAUGACAUAUUUAUUUGGGUUGUGGAGCAAUGCUAAAUUUGUUUGCUUCUAAAACUAUGCAAAAAAGUGUAUACAUUUGUUAAAAUACGGCGGCAAGCCGGUCACGCAGGCAAAUAUGGGUCGACGCGUUGGAUGCACUACCGACCCAUCCAAAUCAAAAACAGGGCGACACCGAGUGGGCAUCCGACCCAAACAGACAAAGCAUGCAUCCGUCUGGGAUGCGUCGGAGUUGCUCUCCGUCUAUCAGAAUCACUGCACACGCAACAAAGGUAUCUACUCCGAUAAACGCCUUCCCCAAAGAGGAAAUCAAUGUGUGCAGCGUAUUCAGUUACUGGCAGUAGUAAUCUUCAGGGCUCUCCCAUCUAACAUAUAAACCCUGCUACGCUACCCGCCAUUCCAGAGCCCCUGCGAGCGCGAGCGAUUUUUGGCCUUUCGAUCAUUUUACUGUUCACGUUUUUACGCUGCUGUCGAUUGGUCAGCCGUUAGUUGCUUUUACACACAUGCGCUUAGUAUAUCACUGGCUGGCUGCUGGGUCCAUCUUUCCAUGGGGCCCGGGGGCAGUGGCUGGGUUGUGCGCGCAGGUCGUCGUUGUUGUCAUGCGCAUAUGGAUUGACUCAGCGGAGUAAUUGCAUUGGCUCGUUUUGCGGGAUGUGGUGGAAUACUAUUGAUUUACUCGUCUGCUUGUUACGCUUUCUUUGAUGGUGGUCCCGAUUUACGUUUGGUCCCAUGUUGCAGUGGCUUGCGGGUGAAAGGAUUGCGCUCGCCAGCGUUGCCUGCUGCAUGCGCGUCGAUUGGCUCUCGCGUUGCCCGUAGAAUGCGCGUCGAUUGGCUGAGGGCUGAAAUCCCGCUGCUUUACUCGUCCGUGCCAUGCACUGUCUUUGAUGGUGGUCCCGGCUUGCAUUUAGGCCCGCGUUGCAGCGUCAUGUGUGCGUGAGCGGUUGGGUUCCCCAUCUCUGCUCGUUGGGUAAAGUGACGCAGGCCUGUGCCCGUUGGGUAAAAGAGAGUAACAUGGGCACAUGGCAGGUGAAAGGUGCACACAUACUUUCGGCCUUAUUUGUUCUGUCGCUGCGACUGGGCCUGUGUGUUCUGGUCCCGCUUGUAAGUUCAACCGGUAGAAGCGGGUCGGUUCAUUUGAAAUUUACAGCGCCUCGGUGCCUGGGUUUGUCAGGGAUGCACUGUGAUCACGUUCGCUGAAGUGCUGAACCGUCGUGGUGGGCGGGUGCUCAACCCGGAUCCGGCUUGCCUAUCCCCCUUUCUCGUUGCUCACUUGGAUCAUCUCUUGGCCUGACUCCGCCUUCCCAUCCCCACGGUGGAGCGCGAGAAAGGAGGGCGAGGACGAGAUGACGACCGGGUCGUCCGUCAGCCUCGCUGCCGGGGAGCAGUCGGCCCGCGGUCGCGCGGUGCUGUCCGGCCUGCCGGACACGGCCGGCAUCGUCCUCGUCGGCGAUGGGCCCCGUCGAUGUCGCCCCCCUCAGCGCUAUGAGGUCCGUCCGCUCGCCUACCUGGUGCGAUUGUUUGGUUCAUCUCAAUCGACAUUGAUCUGAUUUGAUUUUGAUUCGUGCUGGCAGGGGUGUGCGGUGCGUUUUAUGGUGCGAUGGAUGGCGCUGGGGCAAGGGCGGCCACGGCUCGCACAAGAUUCAGCUCCUGCUCGUGGAGUUAAAGGCCGGUGUUGGGGUCCUCAGCGGCGAGGAGGACGACACGUCGUGUGUACGCAGUGUUCCUCCCGCUCGUGGAGUGAGCGUUUUGGACCAGCCUCGAGGGUGGCCGUCCGGACGGCAACGAGCUUCGGCUCUGCAUCCAGAGCUGCAACUCCGGCAGGCACGCCACUUCUUCGCCCCUCUCAGUCGCCGGUGCUUUUAUUCUGUGUAUGGCGAUGGGGUUGCUUCAUCUGCUCCGUUCAUGUCGUUGAGGUUUGUUCUUCCAUCCUCUUCCUUCCUUUGCCUCCUCAAAUUCUUCUUUGGUCUUACUCCUUAUAGUAGAUUUCUGUCCUCCGUAGGUUUUGUGAUGUUUGCCUGUUUCUCGCUCUCGAGUAGGUCCCUGCGUCAAUCUUGCCUUCGGCAUUGAGGUGAGAAAAUUAGCCCCACCUUUUCUUGCUGCUCUACUGUUCGGUGAAAUGCUUGUGCCCUGAUGGAUUCCGUUUUUUCCCCUUGGUGUUCCUUCGCGUCCUGCUUCUUGCCUGCUUUGCAAGUCUUUGUUUCACCUGUUGGCUCGGUUCAGUUGAUUGUCCGUGCAUGGGUAUGUUCUGUAUACGAUGCAAAUUCGGAACAAUGGAUUUGGUUUUCUGAACCACAAAACUUGUCUAGCUUGAAUUAGCAGAUUACACCAUGAAAAUACAUACUGUCCUUUAAAAAAUACUGUGUAUUAGUACCUCUUUAGACCCUGCUGCUUGCGAUCUGAACCAGGAUAUACUUUUCUACAAUUUAGAUGUUAUAUCAGUUUGCAGAUGAGUUCGUGGCUAAUACUAGCAUUGUGAAUUUUUCAUGUUUGUCUUCCUUCCUUUCAACCUGAUGCAUGUCAGCAUGUGCAUAAUGCUCGUUUGUGACUAUUCUUUGUUUUCUUAUCACAUCUACGCCAUGGUUAUGAGGGAUAAUUUUAAUUCUAUUGCUAGAUGCUGUGUUUGAGUUUUAUCCAUCACCGGAAAAUGGUAUCAAAAGGUCUAUGGUUAAUUGUUCAGACACUGGAGCAGAAAAGGCUAUAAUUUGGUCUCACUUUGAUUCUGUUACGACUAGAUAUCAAGUUUAUAGCAUGUGAACUCUAAAGAGUAGCAACUAAAUCUUGUGCUCAAUCACUGCCUACCCUCCUGAGAACCAGAGCAAAAAAUGUAUAGUCUACACAAAUUUUAGUUAAGAUUGUAUCCAGAUCAUAUGGUACGGAUAUUGCCUCGCUGAUACUGACGUUUUGCUGAACCUGGACUUGUAAAUUGCCCUGUAUCACCCUCACACAGGUGGAUCCUCGGUAUACAAAUUAGUACUUAAGCAUUGGCUUUUCUCUGAAUAAGAAUAACGGCGUACAUACCUGAAGAAUUAAAACUUGCAAUAAUAUAUACUUCUACUUUGUACACCUGUCUGAGAAUGCCAUAAGCCUUGUUUUUACACCUCUUGAAAUUUCUCAAUCUAUUUAUGAUUCUGAACAAUUUUUAGUCUAUAAUUAAUUUUCCUGUCAACCAGCAUCCCAAGCAAGCAAUAUCAAGGUUGGUUAGCACACGUCUUACACUUCCUAUAUAUGAUAUGGUCCAUAUAUGCACAUUGCACGUAAAAAACUUGAGUUUCAUGCAUAGAUUUUUUAAAAAUAGCUUAUUUUCUAUUCGGGCACUCUUCGUAAAAAGUACUGCAUAUUGAAACUUAUGCAUUAUACCUUGCAGGUAUUGCAAGGCGCAUCAUUGGACUGAUGUACCAGAAAGGGCAGUGCCACUAGAGAUAAUUAUUCCAGAUCACCUUCUACUUCUUGAUGGAAGUCAUUAUCAGAAUGUAUGCAUCAUCGUGGUAUUUACUCAUGUACUAUACUGUAUGAAAUUAAACUGAGCUAACUGAAUUAUCUUUGAAAAAAUAUUAGACUAUGUGUAUAUUACCAAGUGUGUUCUUAUUUUUCGCUUUUCAGGUAGUUGUUAUAGGGGAGAACAAAGUAUUAAUAUUGCUGGUUUGUAAUAUAGAAUAAUCCUUAUGGUCAGAUUUGGCUAAAUUUUUAUGAAUGUUGGCGCCUGAGAGUGCCCAAAUUUGUGUUGGAUUUGAUUAGUAUGUUGUAUGCUUACUAUGUUCCAGGAGGAUCGUUCUUUGAAUACAUUGACAAACAUGUUCUGCUUUUAAUGUUAUUUCUGUACAUAAAACGUACCAAAUUAAGAACUAAUGUACCCUUCUUACUUGGAAACAGCUUCUAGGACUAACCGAUGCUAAAUUAAGAACUAGGAUUUGGCAGCAGGCAUGGUCCGUCCGGCAUGCUAUAGCCUUUUAGGUUGUUAUUGUUUACAAUUAGGUUAUGCUAAACCAGCAAAUAGAGCUUCACCAUUUAAAAUUUUGAUCCACCAAUGGUGCUCCAGUGAUUUCUACUUAUUUUUUGUUGUGUCUUGGUAGUUUGAUAAAAUAGGGCAUGAUUUUCAUAUAGUUUUGUUACAUGAUAUUACAUUGGUUUUCUGACAGAUUAAUCCAUCACAAGCAAAAUAGGAGACAAGGCAUCAUGAAGCAACUAUAGCAGGCUAUGACAAUUGGUUGUAAUAAAUAAAUGGAGAAUACCCACUGACAGAAGUUUUUGCGCUAAAUAUGUAAGCCAUCCUAAACCCAAUAAAAAACAAAAGAGAACAAUACCGAACCUGAGUAGUAUUCCAAUUUUAUCUCAUAUUAUUUCAUAUAUAUCUGUCAUCAGAUAAGUAUAUUGCAAAUAGAAGGGUUAAAAACAAAUGUAGAAUUUCUGCCAAAUGAAGCUAUGCAAUAUAUGGAACUAACUUGCAAUAGGAUCCCAUGGGAUUACAACUAUGCGAAGAACAGUCUGCUAAGAAAGAAAUUCAGUCCAGUCAAAACGAAAAUCAGUCUCUUUGGCGUCAGAUUGAACAUAUAAAUGAUGAAGGGGGUGCCAGGCAGGCUCGUUGCAUCCACGUCCUCGCUAUUCCUCGCUAUGAAUAGUGCAAAGCAGCUGGCGAGCGAGCGAAAAAAAAACAAGCGAGAGAUAGAUCCCUGCAGCCACCGCAUGCUUCCUCCAUCUCUCCCCUCCCGCACCAUCCACUUCCUCCCUCUGCGCCGCCUCCUCUCCUCCCGAUUCGCCUCCUCCUCUCCUCCUCUCGCGCCUCCUCUCAUCUCCACCUCCUCUCCAGCUGUCGCCGCUGCGCCAGGGCCUCGCCUUGCCCUGCAGUUCCUCGUGCGCCUUCUCUCAUCUCCGCCUCCUCUCCUGCUGCCGCCGCCGCGCCAGGGCCUCGCCUCGCCCUCACCGCCCACUGGUGACCUCCCAGCCCUUGUUCUCCGCCUAAUCCUUUUGCUUCUCUGUACAGGUAGGAACAUGAUACUACACUUGAUCUUUUCGCAAAAUAAAAACUGCUUGCAACAGAGAUGAUGCCUCUAAUUUAGUUAGCUAAUGCUGAUGCUAUAUGGCAUUUUUUUUUGUAUUGAAGGAACUGUGUACAUAAUGAACCAUAUAUUAAUAAUCCAGUGAUUUCUGCUCAUUACUAAUCUAAUGUGUUGUUUACUUGUUAUAGACACUGCUGCAUUUGUUGUCCAUUUUGCCAUCGUGAGCUUCAGGUAACUACAUGUGCAAAUAUGCCAAUGGAUUACAUCCUCAGGAUUAACAAGUUCAUGUGUGCUGCUGCUCUUACUAUCUACUAGGUAGGCUGGUCUGAACGCGCUAUUGAUGGCGUUUUCCUCUGGAGUACCAAGAAAAAUAGCAGGUAACAGAAUUUCUCUUUUUGUGACUUCUUAAAUGUUUGUUUCUUGAAUGAGUCCACUCAUUUUGUAUUUCGCUAUGCUAUUGAAAGUUCUGUGAUGCUUACUGUCUAGCUGAUUUUUUUUGUAAAUCAAUAGUUAAGAAGAUGUUGAUUAUAUUUAGUUUGUAUGACAGUAAAGGAUGUAUGUUAAGUGGUAAAAAAGAAGUAACAUACUAAUUAGAUUAUUUUAUAUUUGUAUUUGCUUUGCCUUUUAUCUUCCUACAAUAGUCAGUUGUUUUUGGCACUCUGUGCAAGUGGUACAUCAUCGAAAGACAUUGGAUCGCUGUUUUUUUUAUUUUAAUGAUUUUUGUUUCAGCUACCCAAUUUUUGUCUUGAUGGUUGUCUAAGAUGAGUUUCACUUCUUUGUUCAGAUCAUCCCUGUAGUAGAAGCCAUGCAAGCGCCAUGUAAAAUGGUUUUGAAUCGGAACCGAAGCCAUCUGUUGGAAGUAACAUCUGUAGGGACUGAACCUGUAUGCCACUCCCAGUAAUAUAGAGUGAAGGCAAUAACAACAUUGUUUGCUGUUGGUUUAUAAUCGGUGAGUUCCUACUCCUUGGAUUCACCUGUUUAUUGCCUGCAUACCUUGGCUAGGAUAUGUUGUUUCUUAAUAUUACCCGCAAGUCUGAAUCUUUUAAUUAUUUGUACAAUAUUUUUAAUUAUAGGAGUAUUGGCCAUUGUUUAUUCUUGGUAUGCACAUCAAAUUUUCAGAUAUUCUUAAUUGUGGAUGUACCUUUAGGCUUUCGUGAAAUAGAUAUGUAUCAUAUAUUGAUGCGUGUCCUAAGCAGCAGAUCAUUACUAUAGUUUAUGUAGUGUCAAAACCUUACAUUAUGUGCCUUCUUUUAAGUUUUCACAUAAAGCUAGGGUGUUCCUCUGUUUAGAGAGUUUGGAUAGAAGGCAAUACUAAACUGCUUCCGUUUAUUGUCUCGAUAUGAUCUUUUAACAUUGUUUCUCAACUGUGUUCAAUCUGGCUUAUCAAUAAAAUAUACUCACUGUCAUGCGUUCUGCCUUGAUCCAUUCCCUAUGCUUAUUUGGUUGGGUUAGUGCAGGUAACUGGCCAAGCUACUUGGCUCACUUUCGUUGCCUUUUGCGGGUCCUUUUGUGGGAUGUUGUUGUCAUUCUCGGCCUUAAUGCUCGGAGGAGGGUCAGGGGCAUUUCCUUCAUGGGAAGAGGGGCAUCUGUGAGGGUAUUGGCCAGAAGUAGGCAAGGUAAAAAAACUAGGUUCUAUCUCUGCUACAUCUGAUUAGGCAACUAAAUUUGGUCCCCUUACUCAUUUCUUUUUCACUUACUGUAUGUGAAGCGAUACAAUUUUAUUUCCAUUACUGCAUCUUAAUAUGUUUUAGCGAUUGGUGAAUGCACAACUUUAGCUCAUAAACUACAUGGCAAAUGCUAAUUCUGAUGGGGCUUUUGCCACUUAUUGUUUUGUGGUUGUCUAGACAGCUGAUGGCAUGGUUCUUUCUUGCUAAUUGCCAAUUCUUUUGUAUAGGGUCCCUCGGCUACUUAUGCUUUGCUAGACAAUGAGGGUAUGUAGAUAGCAUGUAUGGUUUUCACAUUGUUUUGUGCAGAUUGAGAUGCAUCACAUGAUGUUUUCCUUUUACAUUUAUGGAUAUUACAGAGUCCUUUCCUUUUCCACAAGGGGUAGUAGCUGUGCCAUUCGAUUCGGAAGACAAAGAGUUGAUCACAAAGGGGUAGCAUUCAGGACCUUUCCUUUUCCACAAGGGACAGUAGCUGUGCCAUUCGAUUCGAAGGACAAAGAGUUGAUCACAAAGGGAUAGCAUUCAGGAUAUAUACACAAAAGAGUAUGAAACCAAAUUAUAUGAUAUAGUUGACCACUAUUUCUAUUAACUUCUUCUGUACACAAUGUUCAUGAGUUCAUGUAUUAAGUACAUUUUAUUGUGUCACUUGUGUUUACUCUUUUUUUAAUGCAAGUUUACAGCUACUCGGAGUUCCUAAUUGCAGACUCAAUUAUCUUGACCUACCGAUGAUCUAAUUUGUGGCAUUAUUACCUUAAGAAAAUAUUUGCAUUUAGUUUCCUUUAUAUAGGAGUACAAGUUCUUACCAAAUGUAUUCAAAUAUACGGUUAUUGAAAAAAUGGAAAAUAUUUUCAACACGAACAUGGUUUUUUUUUUUGCGGAAAAACUUCCAAUCUAUUCAUCUUCAAUCAUGGCAGUACAACGAAUACCAGAAAUAAAAAUUACAUCCAGAUUCGUAGACCACCUAGCGACGACUACAAGCACCGAAGCGAGCCGAAGGCGCGCCGCCGUCAUCGCCCCUCCAUCGCCGGAGCCGGGCACAACUUGUUGUAGUAGACAGUCAGGAAGUCGUCGUGCUAAGGCCCCAUAGGACCAGCACCCCAGAACAGCAACCGCCGCCGAUGAAAAAUAACGUAGAUCGGAAGGAUCCAAACCGAAGACACACGAACGUAGACGAACAACGACGAGAUCCGAGCAAAUCCACCAAAAAUAGAUCUGCCGGAGACACACCUCCACACGCCCACCAACGAUGCUAGACGCACCGCCGGAACGGGGGCUAGGCAGGGAGACCUUUAUUCCAUCUUCAGGGAGCCGCCGCCGUCUCGCCUUCCUGAGUAGGACACAAACCCUAACAAGAUUGAAAAAAACGACUAAAAACGAAGCCCUCCCGCCGGCCCUUGCCAGGAUCCACCGCGCCUCCAUGGCCCUAGGGCCACCGGAGACGAGGCGGACCUGCGCCGGCGCCGGCGAGAGGCACAAACCCUAACUUUCUUUCUUGGAGGAGGAGGAGGAGGUUAUAACACGAACAUGGUUUUAAACGGGUCUUUGCGCCAUUUGGCGCAACUGGUCAUCUAGUACUCUUAAACUGAACCAAAUCUCAAUGUAAGAAAAGAAAUAUAAGGUCGUGACUUUCUCAGGUUACAGGCAUGGAACAGUAAAAGACAGCGAAUUUCUGAGUUACAACAGAGAUACAAUGCAACAAGGUAACAUAGGGAAAAUGCAACAAUGUAACAUAUAAGCAAACUAAAAUUCCUCGUUGCUGAAUUCGAUAAACUAGUGUAAUCUGGGCGCACAAAAGUGAACAAUAGUGUUACAACAAAACACUGCUACGAACAAGCUAGCUUACAACAAUGCGGCAGGCGCUUAAAAGACAGCAGGCAAUACAUGUGAGUUCAAAAAUACUCUAUCAAGAAUAAUAACUGAGACUCAGCUCACCUUACUCAACCAGAUAUUCCGGAGGCGGCUGCGCAUGUAUUGACACCAUCCUUGCAGUCGCGUGUUAGGUCAUUGAAUGUCUCCAACUUCCUCUUCCCCCUGAGGAACACCUCAGUGUCAACUGCAACCCUCAUGUAACCAUCGAACUCCACCGGAUUGCCAUUGUUGAGCUCCUUAGUUUCAGCAUACCAUUCACUAUUUUCAUCCCAAAGGUCCUUGAAAUCAUCCAGGAAACGCGUCUUAUACUUGUUCUUCAGCGGGUCGAAGAAGGAUUUAUCAGACUCGUCUGUAGCAAUGUACAAAUACCGUCCGGCACCAACCUUAUCAUUGAGUGUCGUAAGGAGAUUUUCUGGCGAGGUAUCUGCAUCAAGGUUUGGCCACAGCUGUGUGUUCUGGGCUUUCUCUCCUCUCACGACGUGCAUCGAGUCGAAAUCCCAACUCAUUCGAGAGGCAAUGGCAGACACAAUCUCCAUCAAGCGGCGCGACUUCCACAAGAAAUGCCAUGGCCGUUUGAUCAUGGCCUCCGUCUCACCCUCGCACACACGUGACCAGUAGUUAUCCGGCUCAACAUGCCCAAACUUCCUCAUGAUCAGCGUGUCCUUGACGUCACGAAGUUUCAUGGGGGUCACCUUGAUGUCUUCAGUGUAGUGGUUCUUCAGUCGAUCCUUCUUGUGCCACUUCCCCCAGUCUGUCCAGAACUGACUCUGAUCGAUCACAGAUGCAGAUUCCUUCAGGUGCUCAAAAUCAAAGUAGAGCCUGAAAUCUUUUUCUUCAUCCUUGCCACUGGCAGUAUACCGGGAAUUGAGGCAGACGUUGAAGUCCAUAACAAGUGUCCGAUUCAAGAACUGCGCCUCACCUAGCGCACACAAAAAGCCCCAAAUGUAGUGGUUCAUGCUCUUGCAUCUCUCACCACCUCCCAUGUAAAUGAGGUACCUUCCGCGGCUGAAAUCGGACUCAGAAGCGACCACCGGCAUGCUGUCAUUGACGGCAUCGCCGACAACAAACACCUGGUCUGCAGCAGUCGUGGUGUCUGCAUUAGCACCAUUCUCGUCGAUCCUCAUCUGGGUCUUGGCUGGCACGAAGUCUGUGGUCACCGGUGCCUCACGCUUUCCCUUCUUGCCCUUCUUGCCCUUGCGUCGCCCGCUGCGCUUGGCGCCGGUGCCGGAGUGGUACUCGCCGAUGCUUUCCACCACGAGGGAGCAUGUGUUGACAUCGCGGGUGAGCGUGAACCGGCGGUAGUCCUUAUAGUAGGUGGUGCGUCCUGUGGCGUCUUCGGCUGGGCGGAAGCGCCAGGCGAGGUCGCACGCCAUGGGGCUCUCCGGCACCACGACGGGGCGGCCGAAGCGAUAGAAGUGCAGGUCGGGGAACCUCUCGAUCGACGUACGCAUGAGCAGGUUGAAGAGCUCCCUAUCCCCCGUGCAGUCCACCGGCGCCUCCGUGUCGCAGGAAACAGCCUCCACGAUAGGCUUCUCCUCCUGGGCGGCCGAGUUGGGGUCGGUGACGGUGUCGGUGUCGACGGUGACGGACUGCUCCGUCUCUACCUCCGUUUUCUCGGAUCCAACAUCGGAGAGCUCGAUGAACUUGGGUCCGACAGUGGCGUGGGCGUCCUCGGAGGAGUUGGAGCCGGUGGCGAAGUCCUCCCCGGUACGGAGCACGGAGUCGUCGGCGAGGAAGGUGGAGUUGGAGGUGGCGGAGGUGAGGAACGCGGUGAGCUGGUGGGAGGAUGGGUGCAGGAGCGGGUCGUCGGGGCUGUGGACGGCGGCGAGGAGCGUGAACGCGAGGACGGCG